rnacentral:rRNA from 1 species
GAUGAACGCUGGCGGCGUGCCUAACACAUGCAAGUCGAGCGAACGGACGAGAAUCUUGCUUGGCUGAUGUUAGCGGCGGACGGGUGAAUAACAUGUGUAUAACCUACCUAUAAGACUGGGAUAACUACGGGAAAGCGGAUAUAACACCGGAUGAGAUUUUGAACCGCAUGGGGCAUAAGUGAAAGACGGUCGUGCUGUCACUUAUAGAUGGAUCCCCGCUGGAUUAGGUAGUUGGGAAGUUAACUGCUUACCAAGGCUACGAUGCAUAGCCGACCUGAGAGGGUGGUCGGCCACCCUGGAACGGAGACACGGUCCAGAGGCCUACGGGAGGCAGCAGUAGGGAAUCGUGCGCAAUGGGCGGAAGCCUUACGGAGCAACGCCGCGUGUGUGAUGAAGGUCUUCGGAUCGUAAAACUCUGUUAUUGGGGAAGAACAUCUGUGUAAGUAGCUGUGCACAUCUUGACGGUACCUAAUCAGAAAGCCACGGCUAACUACGUG